rnacentral:rRNA from 1 species
GAUGAACGCUGGCGGCGUGCCUAAUACAUGCCAGUCGAGCGAACAGACGAGGAGCUUGCUCCUCUGACGUUAGCGGCGGACGGGUGAGUAACACGUGGAUAACCUACCUAUAAGACUGGGAUAACUUCGGGAAACCGGAGCUAAUACCGGAUAAUAUAUUGAACCGCAUGGUUCAAUAGUGAAAGACGGUUUUGCUGUCACUUAUAGAUGGAUCCGCGCCGCAUUGGCUAGUUGGUAAGGUAACGGCUUACCAAGGCAACGAUGCGUAGCCGACCUGAGAGGGUGAUCGGCCACACUGGAACUGAGACACGGUCCAGACUCCUACGGGAGGCAGCAGUAGGGAAUCUUCCGCAAUGGGCGAAAGCCUGACGGAGCAACGCCGCGUGAGUGAUGAAGGUCUUCGGAUCGUAAAACUCUGUUAUUAGGGAAGAACAAAUGUGUAAGUAACUAUGCACGUCUUGACGGUACCUAAUCAGAAAGCCACGGCUAACUACGUG